rnacentral:rRNA from 1 species
AGAGUUUGAUCAUGGCUCAGAGUGAACGCUGGCGGCGUGCUUAACACAUGCAAGUCGAACGAUGAACCUAGCUUGCUAGGGGAUUAGUGGCGAAUGGGUGAGUAAUAUAUAGCUAACCUGCCCCUUAGAGAGGGACAACAGUUGGAAACGACUGCUAAUACCUCAUACUCCUUUCUGUCAUAAGAUAGAUCGGGAAACGCUCCGGCGCUAAGGGAUGGGGCUUUACGGUAUCAGGUAGUUGGUGGGGUAAAAGCCUACCAAGCCUAUGACGCCUAGCUGGUCUGAGAGGAUGAUCAGCCACACUGGAACUGAGACACGGUCCAGACUCCUACGGGAGGCAGCAGUGGGGAAUAUUGCACAAUGGAGGAAACUCUGAUGCAGCAACGCCGCGUGGAGGAUGACGCAUUUCGGUGUGUAAACUCCUUUUAUAUCCCAAGAUAAUGACGGUAGGAUAUGAAUAAGGACCGGCUAACUCCGUGCCAGCAGCCGCGGUAAUACGGAGGGUCCAAGCGUUACUCGGAAUCACUGGGCGUAAAGGAUGCGUAGGCGGAUAAUCAAGUCAAAAGUGAAAUCCCACGGCUUAA